rnacentral:tRNA from 1 species
GCCUGGCUGGCUCAGUACGUAGAGCAUGAGACUCCUGAUUUUGGGGUUGUGAGUUCAAGUCCCAUGAUGGGCA